CUCUGGUUCUUAUACUAGGUAGAGGAGAGAGUCAACACGUUAACAGUCAUGUCUCUGGUUCUUAUACUAGGUAGAGGAGAGAGUCAACAUGUUAACAGUCAUGUCUCUGGUUCUUAUACUAGGUAGAGGAGAGAGUCAACACAUUAACAGUCAUGUCUCUGGUUCUUAUACUAGGUAGAGGAGAGAGUCAACACGUUAACAGUCAUGUCUCUGGUUCUUAUACUAGGUAGAGGAGAGAGUCAACACGUUAACAGUCAUG